UACGGGGGGAGCAAGCGUUGUUCGGAUUCAUUGGGCGUAAAGGGCGCGUAGGCGGUCAGCACAAGUCAGUUGUGAAAUCUCCGGGCUUAACUCGGAAAGGUCAACUGAUACUGUGCGACUAGAGUGCGGAAGGGGCAACUGGAAUUCUCGGUGUAGCGGUGAAAUGCGUAGAUAUCGAGAGGAACACCUGCGGCGAAGGCGGGUUGCUGGGCCGACACUGACGCUGAUGCGCGAAAGCCAGGGGAGCGAACGGG
rnacentral:rRNA from 1 species